rnacentral:sRNA from 2 species
CCCACCAGCAUGCCGAGCCCUGCCGCUGGCCUGGGAUCAAUCGUUUCCGGAUGGCAGGGACGGGGGAACCAAGUUUCCACGGCUUCUUUGAAGCCUUGGGGUUAAGUCGAUAGCACCUCUGUCCUUGAUGGGGUGCUCCCGGCCGGGUAGCUCCAACCCGAACCCGACAGCUCACCCCGCAGGCAUGGGAGAGGCGAUCU